CGAUCGCACUGACACCUAACUUACUGCAUGAAACUUCAAGACGUACAUAGUUUUUAACAUGAUUCGAUAGUUUUCUGAGCACUCGCUAAGAAAAAUAUUUUUUGGAUCAAUCUUGAUGUACGUCAUACCGUUUAAAUCUAUUUUCCGAAAUAACUUAGAUUAUGUUACCAGAAAAGAACAUAAUUUCAUUUUAUUGUUUGGAAUAUUAUUAUCGGAUUUUCUUAAAAGAAGCUCUUAUCAAAGAUGAGAAAGUUAUACACAAUAACCGUCUUCGAUGUAGAAGUGCUCGCGAUAUACUGACUAAAUUUCUCGAAAGAUAGAUGUCUGAAUCGAAAACAACCUCCUCCCUCGCACGACGGCGUCGGCGUCGAAAUGCUAAGGAUGUUGUAUAUUGAAAUAUAUGCAUUUAUAUGCAAGAAUGAGAGAAGUCAAAUAGAUCCGAUAAAAGUCAAAUAAUAUAGGAUAAAUAAAUAAUGCCAGAAAAUCAUUAUUAUCGCCAUUGAACAAAAGAUUAGAAGACUUUAUAUUGGAAGAUACUUUUGAAAUGUGGCAACGACAAGAAAACUGGGUAACAACCUUGGCAGUAACGGGACUAAAAAUAUGAAUUCGUUCUACGUUAUGGCCGGUACCUCGUAUACUAGAGGGGGUUCGUUUUAUGUUAAAGUUAAAUUUGGCGGCGUUCCAAACGGUGCUUGGGAAUAAAAAAGAAGAAAAUUUCCCCCCUACUGACAUUAUUCGGGCAUAGUCAGGCCUACUUCAUUCUGGCCUUUGCCGAGUUCAUUUCGUUCGCGGUGUUAUUCACUCCAUGGAAUGUCUUCGAGUAAAUGAGCUGUAAAAGAUUAUUAAGGAGUCAGGGAAAAAAGGGAAAAGAAUAGAAGAAAAAUUCGUUGGUGAAUCGCCAGAAAGGUUUUUCUCGUUUUGCGGAUAGACCGCUCGUUUGAGUGAAUUACGAUCAAAGAAGUUAUUUGAUUUAAUGACAAUCAUUAAAAAGUAUGCGAUUAACCGAGCACGGACCUUGAAAAUAGCAUUCGCUGGAUGAUAGAUAUCACCUGAACCGGAGAGUCCUCCUCGAAGCAAACGUGACAGAAGAUUGUAACGACCAUAUGUAGACCAUGUGUCCUCCGGCGGCUUAAACAGGGUAGGAUUCCUACGAAUAAAUCAUCUUUUCUGGAGAAAUUAGCGGCUAUGUUGAUCACGUGGUAGAAAAACACGUGUAUUCCACUCUAACAUCUUGUCCUUUGUUAAACAAUUUUUUAAUAACGUGACAAGUUUUCACAUACUUCAGUUAUACAGAUUUCAAUUACAUCUUGAACGUGAAGAUGAUAUUUAUUAUUAUUUAACAAUUGAUUGAACAGAUUGAAACGAAUGAUCGUGAAAAGAAUAAAACUAGAUCAUGAUAUAUGAUGCAAAAUCGAAAAAUCAUCCGAUCAAAAACAUAAUAGCUUACCCUUUCAAAAAUUUAUAAGUUUUUGCCUUAUUGGUACCGUCGUCGAUAACUUUCACGUAAUAGUACGAGUAAUUCGACAUCUCUUUAAUAAUGAUACUUCAACAAUAAAUAUAACCGACUAACAGUAAAUAGUCGCGAGAUUCUCGAAAGGGUGGCACAAACGCGCACUGUUCGCCGAAAACUACACUCGAAUUGUCGUAGUGUACCCCUUCUUCUUCGUACCAUCGAUGCCUGUGCUUCUAUCCGUUUGUCUGCUCGUUUGUAGUUUUCUUCGGUUAUGUAUAUACAUAUAUUUUCAGAUGCUUGUACGUCUACACGAAACUGGUGGAGCAGCUACCGACAGUAGAUUGUAAUAUAAAUGAAAUGACAAUGUUAUUUUUGUUCCUCGAUAGAAAAGUUUCAAAAGCUGUGUUGAACAUUGAGCUUUGAUUAUAAUGAAAUUUACUUUUUCGAUAUAGAAAAUAUAAUAUAAUACAUUUUACUAAUUUUACGAUGCUAUGAUAUAUUUGAGAGAUUAUUCAUACAAGAUUGAUAACACUAAAAAUUUUAAUUCGUCAUUUUACUUUAUUUUAAUCUCAUUUCAUUCAAACAAUUCAACAAAAUCAUCAGUUUUUCCCAGUGUCGAUUUCCAUAUCUGCUUGAUUUUUUCUUCAAAGUUUCCCGUUGAUGAUCCAAUAAUAUAUAAUUUAAUAAUUCAAUCAAACUAGUAGUCUUAAUAGUAGAGUCUUCAUAUUUUGAAUAAAAUUUUAGACAAUCUAUAUCUUAACAAAAUAUUUUAUUUUUAAGCAAAUAAAUCUGUCUAUUUACAAAUAAAUUAUUAUUUAUUUUAGCAUUCAUUUAUUUUUAAUUUAUAAAUACUUUUUAAUAUUUCUAUUUUAUUAGUCGUCUAAAUUUCAAAUAUGAAUGCAUUUAAUGAUAUGAAGAUCAAGAAUUUGAAAUUUGUUUUUUUUCACUAUAUUAUUUACAAUUAAAAUCAAUAUCAUAUAUAUCCAUUAUCAAAUCAAUCAAAUGAGUUUUUAAAUAAAAAUAUUAUAUAUAAUAUCUAAAUAAAUAUAUAGAUGAUAGCUAAUUUAAAACAAACUUUUAAAUAAUAAUUUGAAAAAUAUUAUAAAAUAUGUAUACAUAUUUUUUCUAUUUUAAUUAAAUAAGAAAAAACAAAACGUGAUUAUCUAUCCGUUGAUAGUAAUUUUAAUUAAUUAAACGAAAUGAAUGAGAAAAAAUCUUCUUUUCCUAGAAAUGACUAAUAAUUUAUCUAUUUGAGGAUUAAUUUCUAAAGCCAGGAAAGAAUAUAAUAGAUAUGUAACACGUCAAUUAAUUGACAUUGACUGAUAUAUAUUGAAUACCAUUUUUCAAUCUAUCGAGAAUAAUGAAUCACGAAUAAUAAUACAUUGUUUUCCACAAACAUGUCUUUAUUACGUUUCACGUACAGAUAUAUGGUGGUUGACUUUCAUACGCUGCGCGUACGUAAAGUACGUCGUCGUUGUAAGAAAAAUAAAAAAGGGCCAGUACUCUUUUUCUCGUUUCGAAAGGUUUGUCUUUUCGUUUGCCCAUUCCCCCUCCCCCCAUUUUUUCUUUUUUCUUUUUUCUUUUUUUUUUUUUGCAGUUAACGAUCGUAUACAACAAGAUCGAUGUUAAAAGUAAAUGGACUUUUCACCAUCCGUCGUUCUUUCACAAGCUAACAACGAGUCAACGAGGUAGGUGAGGAUAUCCUAUUUUAUUUCAUUUUUGCAUGCACCAACAGUCAGGUAAUUUUUUCACGGCAAGAACGUUGAUAUCAAUCGGAUUUCUCGGUUUGAUCUGAGAAAUCGAUCACCCUUUUUUUCCCCUCUUUCUUUUUUUUCUUUUUUAAUAAUUAAACGCUUUUGGAGAAAUUACGAUCGUUGUUCGAAUGAUAUAUUAUUAUUUAAAUCAUAAUAUAUCGAUGAAGGCGAUUCGACCAGCCUUGCCUAAAGUUUUCUGAUAAAUAAAUCUAUAUAUAGAAUAUACAUAUUAUAAUUAUACAUAUAAUAUAUAUAAUUAUAUAUAUAUAAUAUAUACAUUUAUACAUAUGUAUAUGUAUACGUAAAGGUUUACAGGUAUGUGUAGAAAGAACGCCAUAGGCGUACAUUUUUUUCUUUUCUUUUUUUUUUCUUUUUUUUUUUCUUAUUUUUUCUUUUCCUUUGGUGUAAAUUAAGUCUUGUGUAUAUAGCGUAUUGUCUCUCUCUCCCUCUCUUCCGUUCUCUCUCUCAUACACACACGCAUUCUCUCAUUUAAACUCUUCAUCUACAUAUAUAUAUAUAUGUAUAUAUAUAUACAUAUAUAUAUAUAUCACACGUUGUGUACAUCGCUUGUAUCUUUAAAAAAUGUUUCAUACAAUUACACGAUAUUCGCGAUUUGACGAUCAUCCUGCAUAUACUUUAUAAAGGACAAGAAGGAUCCCUAAUUGAAUUUUUCUGGAUAAUCCUUCUGCAGGAGGAACAUCGAUGAUAACAGCUCGUUAACAGCUAUAUCUACAUAGUUUCUUUCGUUAAUUUAUAUUUGUUAAUUUAUAUCUGUAACUGUGAUGUGUGGUAAUGUACGUAUAUGUCGAAUAUUCAAUGUAUUAUUGAACAUUACAAUGAAGUGUAUUUGUAUAGGUACGUGAUUCGUUUCAGACUUAAUACUUUGAAUUUUCUUCUCGGUUUUAUUUUUUUUUUUUUUAUUUUUUUUUAUUUUUUUCUUUUGCGUACGUAUGUUAAACAUUACGAUAGUACGUUUCAUUUUUUCUAAUUCUUUCUUUUUUCUUUUUUUCUAUUUUUUUAAAUUCUUUUACAUGUAAUAUGUAGAUACGUAUAUAACUUUACGCCCGCAAGUGUGUAUCGUAAGUGUGUUCGUGUUCGUGUGAGUUUUGAGAAAAAGGAUUUAGUUGAGUUUAAUAACGGACGACCUCAAGCUCAUAAUGUUUCAUUUUUGUUUUACAAUUCCUUAUAUUCGAUAUAUGCUACUAUAAAUAAAUUUUAUCGAUGAUUAUUUUCGUUCGUGUCGCCAUAUGAUGAAGGGAAUUCACUUUGAAGCUUCUAAAAAAUAAAUAAAAACAUAAAAAAACUUUCUUAUUUAUAAACUAAAAUAUUACCUAAACUACGAUAGAUUAAAAAAAAAUUCUCUUAUUUUUUAAAAACUUCUAUAUUCCCCUAAUAUGCAUCAUAAUGGAGAAUGCGUGACCAUCCAUUUAAUAAACUCAAUUAAAAUCUUUCCUCUGGUAUAUGGAUAAAAAUAACUUUUUUUCACGUUUAAAAACAAAAAGGAAAAAACAAAGAAAAACAAAAAGGAAUGAAAAAAUAAUACCAAUUCAUUUGUUCAAGAAAUUUCCACUUAUAGCAACGUUUCUUCGGAGUAUACAUGACGCGAAUAUUCUUCAUUUCGUAUCCAUAAAAAUGAUGAUGAUUCCUUGAAACGUAUAGCCAUAGAAACUGCGUUUACAGUUGCGGAACGUCGCAAUGAUUUAGUCGAAUGCAUUGUAACAUUGACUAUCGGGGAAUUCUGUCACUCCCCUUUGUACAAAUUUCAGCAAAAGCAUUCCUCUUCCUUUGGAAGCUCAUGACCCAGAAGAUCCUUCGUGUGAAGAACAGAGAGACGAUAGUUCCAUCAUACAUAGAACUGCGAUUAAACGAAUUUUAGGGAUAAGCAUCGCUGGAUUUUGGAAAUAAAAAAAGACACAACAUCGAGUAUCACGAGUGUGUAUGCUAAUCCUGUGCACUCGAAUCGCUUCACUGUGAGAUUAAUCACAGAUUAAUUUAAAGAGAAAAUACAAAAUUCUUGUAAUAAUAAUAUUUUACAGAAUGAGAAAAUGAAGGUAAGGGAGUGCAAAGGGUUAUAUGUGUUUUACGUGUUAGAUGAUGAUGAUUGGAAAAAAUAAUGGAUAUUUCUUAAAGAGUAAAAAUAUUAGGAUGGAUAUUGUAAUGGAUAUUUAUGAUGUUUAUGAUAAUUUGACAGAAGUACAGUUAUAUACGAUAUAAUUGUUUCUUAAUUAAUAUUAAUUUGUUUUUAAAUUAUAAUAAUUAAUUUUUUAUAUAAUAUAUAAAAAAUAUAUAAUAUAUAUAUAACUAUUACAUACAUAAUUCUCUUCUGUCAAUUAAUCAUAAUCCUAUAAUCUUCUCUCUUCCUUCACAUAAAUAUUUCAUAAAAAUAUUUAAAUUACCUUCUUGAUCUCCAUGCUGCCAGGGGUACUUGAACGCUGUGGUGGUGGCGAGAAUGCUAUUUUUUCGUACGGUAUCGUGCCACGACACAGAGCACUAGGAUCCAAACUGAGCGCAGCCUUUAGGGCGUUUUUCUUUAACAUUCCAUUAACAUUAGUGGCGCUCGUAUUUAGGCCAGUGUGACUAGGGGAUCGACUACGUGUGUUCGGUGACGAAUUGAUCGUAUCAGGCGGUGUAUCCGAGGAAGCAACGAUUAAAGAAUCAGAAUUGGUCUCAGUGGUAGUUAUGCUUUCAUUGCCAUUCCUUCUAUCUAUGUCCGUAAUAUCAACCGUGCUAUUUCGACGAUUCUCGAUACUUGAUGCACGAUUAUUACCAUUAUCCGUGUUCCUUAACCUAUUUUCGAUGUCCGUCGAAGUUCGAUGUACGCUUUUCUCCUCGCAAUUUAAAUUGUCAGCCUUAUGUUUGUUCUGUAAAUUUGUUGAAAUCGUUAUAAUCGUUAUUGGAAUAUCAUUUUGUUAAUAAACUGCGAAUUUAUACGUUUAUAUGAAAUUAAAGUAUAGAAAAAUAUACGGCAUACAUGGAAAAGUAUAUGAAUUAUCCAAAAUAAAGUAAGCAUUAUAAUAUUUAAUUCCUUAAUGUUCCAAUUUUUUUUUCAUUAAAUUUUCAUUCAAAUAUUAUUUUGUAACGAUUUUUUACAAAUAAUAUAGUAAAAGUAGGUGUGAUAUAUAAAUUAUAUAUGAUAUUAAUAUAUUCGACAUCUUUGAAGAGUUAAGGUUAGGAGAAAUACAAAAGUUAAUAUAGAAUAAAAAUAUUCAUUAAGAUUUAUUUUAUAGUUUAUGAGCAGUUUAAAUUUGUUAAAUGAAGUAAAAUAGAGGUAUGAUAGAGGUAAGAACUCUGUUUCUUAGAGUUUUAGUUUUUAAAAUCAAUUCACUAAAUAAAAGUGUACCACGAAUAUAUAUCAACCAUCUAUAUUUUGAUAUAAGAUAUUCUAAUUUAAGAAAAAUAGGCAAAUAAAUGGCAAAUAGGUAAAUAUAUUAUAUAAUUAUGAUCUUAAAUAUGUAAUAUUACAGAUAUGAACAUUAAGGUAUUAAAAAGUAAGAGAUUUCUUUAGAUUUAAAAAAAAAAACAAUAAAUAUAAAUUUGCAUAAAAAUUCAUAAUUUAUUUAUUAUAUUGGCUAUUAAUACAUUACAAAGAUUUAUGUGAUACAUAUAUAUUUAUAAAAUUUAAUAUAAUUUAGAUAAUCACUUUAAUAAUUGUAUAUUCUAUUAAUAAUAGAGAAGGAUUUUCUGCAUUAUAACGUUUAUAUUAAAUAAUCAAAGUUUAAGCAAUGUUAUAAUUAGAUUUGUUAUUAAAUUUUUAUUAUUGUUAUUAAAUUUUUAAUAAUAUACUAAUUUAAAUGUUCAUAAUUAAAGAACUAUUCAUUAAUGUCGGAUGGACUAGUAACUAUAAAAGUUUGAUUUCAGUUAUUUAAUUUUAGAAUAUUUCAUUUGAAUUGAUAUUGUAAGUAUAUUUUAUAUAAUAAAUGUUGAUGAUAUUCUUAUUUUGUAAAAUUUAAAUUUUAAAAAAAUUAAAAAAUAAGUAUUUUUUUGUUUAAUAGAAUAAUAUUUUUGUGGUUUAAUGAAAACCACAUUUAUAUUGAAUAAUAAUUGAAGUAUAAAUAUUUUAGUACAUAUAUUUAUAUUAAUAGCCAAUAUAUUAAAUAUUACACUUUUUAAAUAUUUAAUAAUAUCUUAAAAUCAAAAAAUUAAUAAAUGAUUAUGAAAAUUAAUAAAUUAAUAAAAGAAAUAAUACACAAAAAUAAAAAAUAUAGAUUAACAAGUAAUAUGAAUGUUUACUAAUGAAAAUAAAACUAACUCUUACAUAUAUAAAAAAUUAUUCACACAAAUAUCACAUUAUGUAUAUAUUAUUUAUUUAAUAAAUGAUUUUUUAUUCAUUUUUAUAUUAGCUAUCAUAAUCUAUAUAUCUAUUAAUGUAUGUAAUCUUAUAAAUCAAUAAAUAUAUGAUAACAUAAUUGCAAUUAGUAAUUCAAUUAAUUAAUUAUGUAAAAUAUAUUAUAAAUAUGAUGUAAAUAGAUAUUUUUGUGAAUAACAUUUUAACAAAGCAUUUAAUUCCUUAAGAAAUAUCAAAUAAUAAUAAUAAUUGUAAUAAUAAUAAUAAUAAUGAUAAAUAAUAAAAUUCCAUUUAGUCAAAGUGAGAAAUAAAAGUUCAUUUAAUCAAUAAUAAAAAAAAUAUAUGCUAGAAAAUGAAAUUUUGUACAAUCUUUAUCCAAUAUACCUCUGAAUGAAUAUUUUCAUCCUUAAAAUCUUCGCGACUCGCGUUUCCACCCAAGGUUUGUUCAGAAUCUGUAUUAGUGCCAUAUGGAAUUGAUUGAAAUCGUCCUUGCAUAUUAUUUCUUUCAUUCGAAUUCAUUCGAUUCGGAUUUUCGUUUCUGAGAUUAGGAUUAUUGCUCGCAAUAGCUUGAGCCAUGCGUUGACUAGCUGAUCGAGAAUCGAUAAUUCUGGGUUGCAUGUAUCCACAUGCAUCCAGCUAUAAAAACGGACAGUAUUCUAUAAUGUUAUAUGUAUUCGUUGUUCGAAGAAGUAUCGCGGAACAAAUAUGAAGAAGAAUACAUCAAGUUCGAAUAUAAGUAAUCGAAAAAAUGGAACGUUAAACAAUAUAUACUUACUUCUGACUGUACAUUGAUACAUUCUGUUUCUGGAUCAGGUCUCAUUAUCGUCACUUCACGAUCGCAGAUUGGCAAAAUAUCGAAAUUGGGGGUUGGAUGAUUUAUCACAUCAGGAUCCUAAGCAUAAAAAUUAGAAUUAUUGAUUGAAAUUCAUUGAAAUCAUAAUUCUUAUCUUAAUUUUCAUUAAUAGUAUAAUAAAAUAUUUAUAUUAUUGUAAAUUAUUAUAUGCAAAAAGAUUGUAUCUAAUCAAGAGAUUUUGAGAUCAUGUGAGAUUUUAUUUCUUAUUAUUUGAAAAAGAUUUUUUAAUUAAUUAAUUGUUUUUACCUGUAAACAGUAACCAAUUCUCUCGACGAUAGUUGCAAAACUAGGCCGGUCUUCAGGGCGUGGAUGCCAACAUCGUGUCAUUAAUCCAUAAAUAGGAUCAGGACAUCCUGCAGGUUUUUCCAAACGACCUCCUAACGUUACCAUUGUCAUAGCUUCUCUAUUAGUACAACCAGUGUAAGUUUCAAACAAAUUUUAUUUAUAUUCACAAAUAUAUUCCUUGAGAAUAUUUUUAAUCUAUCUGGAUCGAUUAUGCAAUGGACUCUUAAAAAAUUUGAUUCUUUUAACAAAACAAACAUUUGUUCAUAAUUUUAAUAAUAUUUAUCGCAUCUUACAUGAAUACUACGAAAAUUUACAUAAAAAAAAUCUAAUAAUAAAUACGAACUUGUUAAAUAUAAACGAAGUUGUUCCGUAAUUCGAGAUGAAACUCACCAAACAUCAGUUUUCGUAGUGAAUAUUCCAUCUAGAAAACUUUCUGGUGGCAUCCAUUUAAUCGGUAACAUCGCCUUGCCUCCUUUUCUGUAAUAAUCGCUCCUAUAAAUAUCCUUUGCCAUCCCGAAAUCCGCGAUUUUCACUAUACGACCGGGUCCCUUAGACGUGAGCAAACAAUUUCUCGCGGCGAUAUCUCGAUGAAUAAAUCGGGCCUCUUCCAUAUAUUUGCAACCGUUCGCUACGUCAAAUCCGCACAUUAUCAAAUCCUGCAUCCUCAACGAAGUGGGCCGAUCCUGCCAAAACAGGAAUAUACGCAUGCACCCCAUUGAUGACGAGCGGCAAAAAUUAAGAGUUGACCCUGUUUAAAUUGCAAUCGAGAACGACACAUAGUUAACAAAAAGUAAUGGAACUUAAUAGAAAAAUUAAUAAACAAGAUUCGGUGAUUAAAAUUAUGAAAUAACGGAACAAAAAUGGAAACAACUUAAUUGUGAAUUUAUUAAUUCAAAUAAAUAAAACGUAAGAUUCUUUUAAUUGUAAAGUAAUAUACAGAAAUAAUUAGAGAUUUUUCGAAUUAGAUUGAUAAAUCUCUGUUCCUUUUCUUCUCUCUUGGAAAAAAAGAAAACUUCAUAACAUAAUAUAAAUCGUUACGUUAUCUUUCAUCUAUAUAAUUAGCAUAUAUAUAUAUAUUAAAAUACAACGAAUUUUACGAAAUCGAUCCAAUAUUUGAAAGAAAACGCUAUUUACCGCGCGUGGUCUUUCUUCUCGAAGAAAGUUCUUCAAAUUCCCUCCAGCGAGCAAUUCUAACACGAUAUACUUUGGAUUUCUCUCGAAAGAAACUCCAAUAAAAUGUACGAUAUUGGGAUGAUUAAAUUUGCUCAUUAUCAGAGCUUCCAUCAUGAAAUCAGCUUCCGUCUGAGGCCUAGACGAAGAGGGGAUUGCCUUCACAGCGACAGGUUGUUCUUGAUUCCGUCUAUAUCUAUACACACCUUGAAAAACUUCGCCAAAAGCUCCUUGACCAAGCGGUCUACGAUACAAAAUAAAACAAUUAAUUUAUCGAAUUGAGAAGAAAGAAGAACUGAUCAUGUAUUUUUUUUGAAAAGUUGAGUCUUAACCCUGAGAUUGUAUCACUGUGGUUAUUAAUGAUCAUUAAAUUUAUACUUACCUUAUCAAAGUUAUACAUUCGCGUGGGAUUUGCGUCAAGUCUUUAAAACUAUAAAGAUUUCCAGCGAACUCAUAGUUCGGAUUGAAUUCGGUCAUUAUAGUGUCGGAAACAGCUUGCAGCGACGUUAAUUCAGUUCCGUUACCAAACAUUACUUGUCGCCGUUGUAUAAGCGCCUUUCGAUUUUGGUAACGAUUAUCUAUCGACAAAAGUGAGAUUUCGCUUACAUGAUAUAUAAAAUUAUAUCCAUACGAUCGUCUACUUUCAAACGUUCUUUUUAUUAAAAAAGUUUCACGUUUAAGAAAAUACGAAAUUUCUAAGAUUACAGAAAACAAUGUAUGUUACAAUAUUAUCGAAUAAUUUCUUACAAAGUAGUAGGCAGAGAGCGGUGAAAGCAAAGAGUAGGCCAAUGCUUACAACUAUAAGGGGUAUCAUGAACGGUUGAUGCGUAACUUUUGAAUCACCUAAAACAUUGUCAUCGGCUAAAAAUAAUUAUAUCAAUAUUAUUUUAUUGCAAAGUUAUGCUCCAAAGGAGAGAAAGAAAUAAUUUUAUUUUUUUUUUCUUUAUGAUACUCACGAACACAAGAUCUUGAAUUAUUACUCAAUAACCAGCCUGAAGGACAGAGACACUUUGUCUCGCUAAGGUACUGAUCGAGAGAGAUGCAACGGAAGUCACAACCACAACCACUGAUAGCAGGAAUGAUGUAAACCUCUCCUGGCCCAUGAUUUAUUCCUGACAGGAAGUGAACGUACAUAAGCUCGCUGCUGGCGUAGGAGUAACCACCUUCACCGUUACCAAGUUCCUUGUGACCGGUAUUACCACCUAAAUCAUUAUGUAAUUGAAUUAUCAAAGAGUGGUCAAGAUGAAUUGAAUUAUCAAGAGUGGUCAUACGAUUCAAAACAUGAAAUAUAAUUGAAUAGUACAAGAUAUUUUGAAGGAUAUAUUUGCAGUUAACUAUAUAUUAAUUUCAAUAUACAAGUAAAACUUCAUUUGUAGUGAAGUUUUAAAUUGUAUCUGAUUAAUCAGAAUCCUGCCAAUUGAAUCUAUUUAUCUGUAUCUUAUGUGAAUAAAAAUAAUAUUUCCAAUUAUAUUCAGAUACUUCAAACAAUCCAAAUAAUGAAAUAUUAUAUAUGGAACAUAGCAAACAAGCAUUUAAAUGCAAUCAUUGAUGAUUGAAUCCUAUUACGAUAUUAAAAGUUCGACAAAAAGUAAAGAAAAAAAAUUCUUUUCAAGUAUUGAAACGUAACAUAUAUUGUACAACAACAUGGAACAGCUACAUCCAAUUAUCCCAAUUAUUUCAUCUGUUCCGAAUUCCAAAUGCAUGGGUAAUUGAAAGCGAUAUAAAUGAAUUCUAGAUUCGGUUUAAAAUCGCGUUAAUAUUGAUUCUGUUACCUAUGUAGCCACCUCCACCACCUCCAGUAAGACAUCCACCACCGCCGCCGCCGAAUCCUCCGUUUCCGUGAUUUCUAGGUCCGCAACCAAUUCCGCCUACGCCACCCCUAACAAGGGGCGCGCCUGCUGUAGUUCGUUGACCCAUACCCGAUGACUCGUUCAAUCCUCCACCUGGGCCGCCUGGGCUAUCUGGGUAUACACCAUUACCAGAUUUAUGUAAUUAACACAGUUUCGAAGCAGUUAAAACUAAAUCUAGAUCGAUGCGCAUCAUAGACAGCAACGUUCACGUUGCCUCUAAAACUAAAGUAUCGUACAUUGAUGCGAGAAUCUGAAAAUUGUUCUCUCGCGUUUGCGUUUAAUUUGAGAAUGUCAAACUGAUAGUGAACUUUAAAUUAAAAAUGACUCACGAGAAAUGACGUGGAAUUUCAAGUCUUUCUUUCAUUCAGAGGAAUAAAAUUUAUCCAAUUAUCUUGUAAUUUAAUUAGAAAUUUUUUUAAUUUCAAUCGAUUGAGAAAUAAUUUUUCGAAAUUAUCGGAUAAGAAGUUGGAAAUGUUAAUAAAACGGAGGAUUAUAGUAAUUAUUAAAUUAUGAAAUAUAAUCAAUCCUAAAGAGAUUGAAAAUAUGAGACACAAUGGAUGCAUUUGUAUAAACGUUAAACAAUUAAAAAAAUUUUAAUGAUUGUUCAUAUUGGUACACAAUUAAUGAUAAUGAUUAAAUAUAUAUUUUAUAACAGAAAAGAUUUAAUUUACAUAUCAAAGUGAAGUAAUAAUUGAAAAUCUUUAUACUUUAUAGUAUAGUAAAAAUAUAAAUCAUAAAUUUUUAUUUACCUGCUUGUGAUGAAAGAACUGUACCCGAAGUAGGUUGUCUUCCAGGAGGAGCGGGUCCUCGACCAUGUUGAUGGCCAUUGUCAAUAAAUUGUCCUAAUCCUAAACCACCUCCACCUCCUGCGAUAACAUCAACGAUUUUGCUUACUGUAAAAAUGUACGUUGCACCACCACCACCACCUCCACCAUCUCUUAUCUUCAUCCUUCUUACUUCAUGUACUUUGGAAAUUCCUAAGGAAGAUUCAUAUGCAGGGCCUUGACAACUGUCUAAUUUCUGUCCCAAGAUCUGAAAAUGAAAGAUGUACAAGAAAAACUUUGAAAAACUGUAUAAUACAAGAUUUUAAAAGAAAUCUUAUUGAAAUGAAAAGGAUGGAUCAUUUUCACAAGAAAUCUCAAAACUGUUUGAAAUUCAGGAAAGUUUCAUUUUGAAAUUUUUUAAAGAAAGAAAAAAGUGAGAAAAAAGAAUAUUAUAAUAUUAUUAAAACUCGAAUAGUAUCGGAUUCAAUUCAUCUCUAGAAGUAAAUAAUAUUAAUCAAAUUAAUAUUUUAUUCGUUUUUAUAUUAAGAUAUAUAUUUCUUACUUUAGGACACGCAUCCAUUCCUGCUUGCCCCACCAUGAAAUACAGUUGAUCACCCUUUUCUAAUUCGAUUACACCACGGACAAGUGCACCCAACGUGCUUCCCAUACCACUAGAACCUUUUCCUCCACGGGCGCCCAUUCCAAUUAAACUACGUUUAUAAUAUAAAUUGUCUUAAUAUUAAUAUUGUAAAUAACAAAUAGGAGAAAUUAGAAUGAAUUCUUACGUAUAAUAUCCACCACGAGGUACUAUCCAUCGUUGAAUACCAUUUAAAUUGAAAGAAAGGGGAUCUUCUUCUGGUGAAGGUGUAACUAAUUCUAUGUCUGUUCUAUUGUAUUCCUCGUUACAUUGCUCAGAAUUGGGGCCUAUUCUUCCUGUAUUUCCACAUGUGGUAAUAUGUAUAACUGAAAAUAUAAAGAGUUAUACACUGAUGAGAUGCGUAUUACUGUAUAUCGUAAUAUGCAAGCAUUUAUCCAAAUUAAACGGCGAUUGUUAUAAUUUUUUUAGAAGAUGUACCAGUUUCGUUAACAAAGUCUGUGUGUUGAUCAGGGAUUUUUUCCGAAUCAAUGACGGGGUUAGAAUAAUUGAAAUCUCCUACGACUUCAGGAGGAACUCCUAAUGAAAAAUGAUACAUAAUUAUUUUAUUAAAAUAUGUAUACUUUUGAUUAUUAAUUUUGAGAAAUCAAGAAAUUUGGAAAUUUACCAAUGCCAAAACAUUCUGGACUUAGGGAAAAAUCAUCGAUCGCUACAUCAGCUUUUGAGUAAUAUCCUCUGCUUGCCUCAAAUUGAAGAAAAUAUCUAUGAACAAAUUAUAUAUAUGUAAAAUUUUACAAAAAUUUACAAAAAAUUAAAUUUGAGAUACCUUUAAUAGGUAAAGUAAAGAAACAGCUUGUUUGUACCAAACGUCAUUUCUGUCACCACUAAGAUAAGUCCACCAUAAUCGGUCGUAAUAUUGGGGUUGAUGUGGUUUUACUUGAACUAAAUACAAUCCAAGAGAACCGCUGUUUGCACCAUAUUGAUGAUAAAAAAACCGUACCUGUAUAAUAAAAACUUUGUGGAUCACCAUUAUAAGGUGGUGUAGGAUUGUACAAUGGACUUUCAAUAGUACCAUGGCUACCAUAUUCUACUUUUGGUGACAUACUUACAUACGCGUAUGUCCCUGAAAUGGAAAAUUAAAAUUAAAUAAUUAAAAUGAUUGAAAUUUUAAAGUAUCAGAAGUAUUUUUAAUGAAGAUAAGUGAAUUUUUAAGUAUUUAAAUUUAAAUACUUGUACUUUCAUCUUUGAAAAUUAUUAUAAGGAAAAAAAAAUAAUAUAAUUUUUAUCCCUAAAUAUUAAUAAUAUUUAAAAUUUUAGGAUUAAAAUAUAAUUUUUUAAUUUAAUAUUAAAUCUUAAAUAUUGUAUGAUAAUUUGAAAUGAAUGAAAUUUUUAUCAAUAAGAAGAAAAAUGUAAUACAUAUAUGGAAUUUUAUGUGGUAUAUAUUAAAUACCUUGAUAUGAAUAUUUAAUGAGAUUCCAUAUUUAUUCAGAUGAAAUUAUUUUUAAAGAUAAAAAAUUAUUUUUAAUAAAAAAAAAAUUUAUAUACAAAGAAAUAUUACGUUCAUGAUAUUAAUAUUGCAUAUUCAAAAGGAUGCAAGUAUAAUAGUAAUGAAAUAUAAAACUGUCAUCAAUAACAAUAUGCAAUGCAAUUAAUUCAAAAUUAAUCAAUGGAAAAUAAUAAUAAUAAAAAAAAGAAACAAAUUUUUGUAUAAAGAAAAUGACAUCUUUUCAUAAAAAGAUAGUAUACUCUUAUAAUUUCAAAUAAUUUUGUCCUCCUGUACAUUAUAAAUACAUAUUUUUCACAUAUUUUCAGAUAUAUUGCAUAUUCGGGAUAAAAGAGUUAAACGCGCUACAAUAAAUCCAGACAAAUGUAUUUAAAACCGAGCGAAAAUGGAAGUUUCAUUGAAACGUGCACACAUAAUAUGUACAUACAUAUACAUAACUAUAUACGAACCGGACGCAUUGCGGUAUGUAUGAUCGUAACUAGGUCCAGUUUUCUCGGACGGUGUUGCGCCACGAUGGAGGGUCCAGUUUAAAGGUCUUCCCGGUAUGUUUUUCCAUCCACACCAUCCAUGCUCGAAAUUGCAUCUCGCGUUCUUCGGUAUUUUGUCUGAAACACCUUUUUCGAUUACGAUCUGUCCGCGACACAAUGACUAACUGAACUGACCGCGGAGGAAGAAAGUGGAGGUAUAAUAAUUUGACAAUUACCGCAGUCGUCCUCCUCGUCUUCGCCCUCGGCGCAGUCUUUUGUUAGGUCACAGACACGUGUUCUGUUUAAACACGAGCCAUUCUUACAGCGAUACAUGUUUUCCGUGCAUAUCGGUUCUGAGUCUGCAAAUAACGAUGCAUUUGUUUCUCUUUUCUUACGUAUAUAAGCAAGCCAAUGUUUGUUCAGUCUUUUCACUUGUUUGGAUUAUGCCGCGUCAAACUUUCUAGAUGCCUAGAAAUUUCUCGUAUUUUCCUUUCAACUGUGACCGUUGCUUUUAUUUUCUUUGACCACCGGUGGUACUAUAUUUAUGCGCGUGGUGAACGUCGUGGUAUAAUUCUAACUUGUUAUAAUUGUAUAGCGAGAUUAUAUUUUGAUAUAGAAAGGGAUAUUGAAUUCGUUUAAAUGAAAAAUUAUAAUUUUGUUUCGUUGUGUAUAGAAAAUGUGUAAUAUCGUAAGUAUUGUAGUUAUAAUUUAUAAAACAGUAAUAAUAGAACGUGUAAUGAUGACUACUAUUGUAACGUAUAGAAAAGAAAUGGGGAUUAUUUAAAAAAUUUAUAUACGUGGGAAAUAUUGAAAAAUACUGUAAAAUUUCAUUAUUAGAAUGUCUUUUUAUCUGCAAAUUUAUGGAAAUAAAAAGAGCUUUUUACAAAAAAAAUAAAUGCAAUAAAAUUUAAAGAUUAAUUAAAAAUUAUUUUGGAAAAUAUUUAGUUAUAUUUUUAAAUUUUCAAUAUGACCCACAUAUAAGAAAAAUCAAUAAAUUUGUUGCAAUAUAAGAAUUUUUAAUAAUUCAUAAUUACCCGAAAAACAUUCGAUUAGUUGAAUAUUAUCAAUAGCGAUGCUAGAAUUAGAAUAGGGUACUAUCAUCUCUAUAAUUAACUGAUGUGGUUGAGAGAUAGUACCUAUUGUAAAACGCAUUUUCUCCCAUCUGUAAUUUAACAGAUAAAUUCCAAUUUUUAUCGAAAAAUAUUUUUAAUUAUUAUUACAAUAACAAUUAAGCAAUCGUUGAAAAAUUACGUACUUUGUAUGAUUAUUUCCUUGCCUCUCCGCGGCAAUCCAACUUGUAUUGUUUGUAAUUAUGAGUAAUUUGAUAAUACCAUUGCUCAUUUCAACUUGAUAUAGAGCUAAUUCUAAUAUGCAACGUGGUCCAGUUGGAGAGAUUUUACUGGACCAUAUUUGAGGUUUCCCGUAGCCAGUAAACCAUAAGAAAUGCCCUAGUGGAAAUCGAAAUUAAUAUCUUAGGUAUUUCAUUUUUUCGCCACAUUUUCUCCACAGAUUUUUUCUCUUUUAUCUUAAAUUGCUAUAAAUAUUGUUUAAAUUAUUUAUUUAAAAUUGACUUUCUACUUUUGAAUAUUUUGGAUAUAGAGUAAAUAAAUUUAAAAAAUAUCUCAGUACUCUCAAUUGAGUAUUCACGUAGAUUUUUAGGAUUUAAAAUUCUAAUUAACUCGUGAGAGUGAAGUAAUUAAUCACGUAUCUCACACAUCUUACCCUCAGUAGAAUUACUGGCAUCCAUGUUAGGCCCCAAUUUAUUUCGCAAGGGUGGGCUGGUUUUCUUGAAACUGUCCAAUUGAUUCCACGACCAAUUGCAAGUCUUUUCCAGAUCGCAGGCGUAUUGAGACUCGUGGCUCGUGAUCUGCAUGUUGUUGUUGGUCCCACGCGGCAUUCUCUCUUUCCAAUCGCAGUUUGUACCCGUGAUAUAACAAAGGCCAAGAAAAAUUCUCAACAAUAGGUUACCGCUUAAGGCGAAUUUACGCCGCCAGUCAUGCACGGUGCGACUCGCCUGUUUGAAAUUCGCGGUCAACACCUCGGAUCGCGUAUCACUGAUCAUUACUCCGCGCUUUCCUCGUGUAACCGCUCGAUAUAUCCUGAAAAGUUACGUGGUAAUAAUAAUAGCCGGACGCCAUUUUGAGCAUCUAAUUCUCGGAUGCAAUCGCAGAUUUGGCUUUCUUUAUCAUUAGAUGCAUGCGUGAUCGAGCAAUUGAGCAAUUGCGUUCGAAACCUUUGAACAUCGAGCAGAGAGAUUUCCAACAAUCUCUAUGAUUACUUUUACAAUUGCAGUUCAAACUUUUGCGGUUUCGCGUUUGCUGGAAGCCUUUCGAUAGACGAAAAAAUUGGAGAUUUUUUAUAUUUUUAUGAUUUUUUUAAAAAUUGAACAGCUUGCAUUGAAAGGAGGAUCAAUAACAACUUUAAGGAAAUUAAAGAAAAAAAAUAUAAUAUAGAAUUCAAUUAAAAAUAUAUUUGCCUUCCUUAGCUUUAUAAAAGAAAAUUUAUUAUUAUAGAUUAUAUUAAGCGAAUCGAAAAAUAAGAGUAUGUAUACAUAAAGCAAAGAAAAUUACUUGUGAAAACAAGGGAACGAACUGGAUGUUGAAACGAAGCUGUGAUUGGCGGAAAUGGAAUAACUGAUUCGCCGAUAUUUCAUAAUUUCCGGUAUGCCGGUAAUAACGAAGACAUCCUUGGUAAUGGUAAUACCAAUAGAGAAAUUUAUUCGAAUGUCAUUUUGUAUUCGUAGAAUACGUAGAUUUUAUUCUACCAUUUUUUCCUAUUAUUGUUUCUCUAAUUUUAAAAUAGAGCAGUUAAGUAUAAAGUAUAUAUUCUUCAAGAAAGGAUAUAUAUCACAUUAGGAAUUUAAAUAUGAUAUCAAUUUUUUUCUAAUAUUGAUUUCUACAAAUUUCAAUGAAUACCAAUACGAAUGAAUUUAUAAUUUUUUUCUUCUAUUAAAAAUUUCAUAUAAAAUUA